AAAUUGAAGAGUUUGAUCAUGGCUCAGAUUGAACGCUGGCGGCAGGCCUAACACAUGCAAGUCGAACGGUAACAGGAAGAAGCUUGCUUCUUUGCUGACGAGUGGCGGACGGGUGAGUAAUGUCUGGGAAACUGCCUGAUGGAGGGGGAUAACUACUGGAAACGGUAGCUAAUACCGCAUAACGUCGCAAGACCAAAGAGGGGGACCUUCGGGCCUCUUGC
rnacentral:rRNA from 1 species